GACGAACGCUGGCGGCGUGCUUAACACAUGCAAGUCGAGCGAUGAAGCUCCUUCGGGAGUGGAUUAGCGGCGGACGGGUGAGUAACACGUGGGUAACCUGCCUCAUAGAGGGGAAUAGCCUUCCGAAAGGAAGAUUAAUACCGCAUAAGAUUGUAGUGCCGCAUGGCAUAGCAAUUAAAGGAGCAAUCCGCUAUGAGAUGGACCCGCGUCGCAUUAGCUAGUUGGUGAGGUAACGGCUCACCAAGGCGACGAUGCGUAGCCGACCUGAGAGGGUGAUCGGCCACAUUGGAACUGGGACACGGUCCAGACUCCUACGGGAGGCAGCAGUGGGGAAUAUUGCACAAUGGGCGAAAGCCUGAUGCAGCAACGCCGCGUGAGUGAUGAAGGUCUUAGGAUUGUAAAGCUCUUUUACCGGUGAAGAUAAUGACGGUAACCGGAGAAGAAGCCCCGGCUAACUUCGUGCCAGCCGCCGCCGUAACAC
rnacentral:rRNA from 1 species